rnacentral:rRNA from 1 species
CCUACGGGUGGCAGCAGUGGGGGAUAUUGCACAAUGGGGGGAACCCUGAUGCAGCGACGCCGCGUGGGUGAAGAAGGGCCUCGGCGCGUAAAGCCCUGUCAGCAGGGAAGAAAAUGACGGUACCUGAAGAAGACGCCCCGGCUUACUACGUGCCAGCAGCCGCGGUACUACGUCGGGGGCAAGCGUUAUCCGGAUUUACUGGGUGUAAAGGGGGCGCAGGCGGCGAUGAAAGCCAGGAGGGAAAGCCCGGGGCCCAACCCCGGGACUGCCGUUGGAACUGCGUGGCUGGAGUGCAGGAGGGGCAGGCGGAAUUCCUGGUGUAGCGGUGAAAUGCGUAGAUAUCGGGAGGAACACCGGUUGCGAAGGCGGCCUGCUGGACGGCAACUGACGUUGAGGCCCGAAAGCGUGGGUAGCGAACAGGAUUAGAUACCCUAGUAGUC